UAGGAAUUCAGGUUCUGUAAAAGCACUCUCCUCUCAUAAUUGCUACUUGGAGGUUUUUUUAUGUGUGCUUGGUUGUUGUUUUUUUAUCAUUCCUAAUGCUGUGGAAGGAUCUGGCACAUCCAAAGGAACUCAGAUAGGAAGGCUAAGUUCAAGAGGCCCAUGGUGAGCUCAAUCUGUGCAGCAUCUGCUUUCUGUGAAAGAUGUGGCUCCAGCUCCUGUGCCAGGACUGAAGGGUGCCCAGACACAAGUGGAGAAGGGUGCCCACUUGGAGAAAACUUCAGCAGCAGCAGGGAGAGGAACUGAGCAAACACCAAAGAGAAUGCAACCAAGGAUUCUACAGGUGCCUGUGUUUGCUGGCACCAAAAUCAGCAUUCUUUCAGUGGACUGUGUGCUGUGGCAUUUUGCUUUGUCCUUAAAUGUAUCUUUGCUUGAUGCUUCCCUCCCAGAAAUGCCAAUGAAUGAUUUGUGCUUGUCUUUGAAGAUGAGUGUAUGCUUUCCAGGCCCGCUGCAAUUUAUUUUAUCCCCACCAAUCUGAAGCAGCAAUUUUUAGACCUUUUAUAACCUGUUAAUGGGCAACUUGAUCAGUUACCGGUCUCCAGCGAGGUGGCAAUGUGUUUCUCAACAGCAGUGAGGCAGGGAAUUGGGUGACAGUUCUGUAUCUUUUUCCUUCCACUUCCAUUAACCCAGAUUCUUUCUUUUCUACUCUUACAAAUGUUUAUCUGCCAACUUCUGCAAAGCAUCAGCAUUUUUUUCACUGUCUUUUCUAACCUGUGGACAUUGAGUGGUAUGUGGUGAACUAUUCACUCCAUAUUCUUUGUGAUCUUUCAGAGACGUAUAAUUUCUUUCUAUGGCAUCCUCUUUACACAUUCCUAGGAACAUAAACCAGGCAGUAAACCUAGCAAAAAUGAGAAACAGUUUAAUGUAAGGGAAUGGCUUGAGAGAAUCCUCAAAAUGUGGAACAUGUACAUGCUAUUCAGCCUUGAAGGAUCCUGAAGCUGAAAAGCUGUUGAAGCCAAAGUAUGCUAAGCUUUGCUAACUUUGCUCAGCUUAGUUAGAAAUUCUCCCUUCCUGUGCUUUUUUUCAUUCUCUCUACUUUAUUUUCUUCAUUAAUGUAUUUGGAAGGAUCCUACUCUUCACUAGGAAGUAAAACAAGAGGAGAUAAAGAAGGAAGGAAAUGGUUUGGAAGGCUAGUCCUCCAGCAGAUAUACCUUCUGUGCAGUGAGUAUCAUAUACCAUAAGAGCUUCUAUUUCUUGUUUCAGUAAUUGUGUAGUGACCUGAAAUUUGAGGCAGUACGAUACCAGUGAUUGUGCUUGUGAAUUGUUUUUUCUCCAGCCAACAGAAACUGUGCUGCAAUAACCCUAAUUAACAUUUGCAUGAUUGUGAUUAGUAACUUACAAAAGUACUGUUGUGGUAACAAUAUAAAACAUUAUUUAACAGUUAUUGAAUUUUCUGCCUUUAUUCAUUAUUUUAAAGUCACAGUGAGCGGCAAACAGGAUAUGUCUAGUUGAUUAUGUAAUUAAACAUAUUAAAUAGCUGUAAGCUGAGAUAAUUAAAAAAAUGUUGAGUACUUUCUAAGGCAAGUAGGAUCUAUAAGAAGGUUAAAUGUUUCCAGAGGAGUCCAGCUAACGCAUCGAGGUCACCCAACUUGAAAUUCAAUUCCAGAUUGUUUGUUAUUGUUCACUGAUAGUUUCAUAUGCUUAUUCUCAACAAGUGCUAUUUGAGCACUAAUGUCUAAUUCAAUUAAAUGCUACAUUUCCUUAUUUACUGCUUAGCUUCAGUGGUGCUGUGAGAAUUGGGGCCCAGGAUAACUCUUCUUUCAAUAGCAAAUAAUCUCAUGUAUCAGUUGUGAUGGAUCCAGGACUAAUUCUACAGUAAAAUUAAAGCUCCAUGACUUUA